rnacentral:piRNA from 1 species
UGACUCAUCUUGUGUAUUCUUGAAGGUC